rnacentral:misc_RNA from 1 species
AUGCGAUACGUAAUGUGAAUUGCAGAAUUCAGUGAAUCAUCGAAUCUUUGAACGCAUAUUGCGCUCUUUGGUAUUCCGAAGAGCAUGCUUGUUUGAGUAUCAGUAAACACCUCACAACCAAAUUUAUUUUUUGGAAGUGGACUUGAGUGAUCCUUACUCUCUCCUCUGGAGAAGGGGCAGGUUACUUGAAAUGCAGGUGCAGCUGGACUUACAACUGAGCUAUAAGCAUAUCUAUUUAAUCUCGUCAAACAGAUUAUUCAUUUUGCUAAAGCUACUCUAAGGUUGUAUUCUCCAUAUGGCUGACUGAUGCAGGAUUCACAAAGUGGACGUCAAAAACCCAUUUUGUAAACUCGAUCUCAAAUCAAGCAAGACUACCCGCUGAACUUAA